UCUGGGCUAGCAAACAAGCCCCUUGUUUUUUCCCGGGCAAGAUAAACCCAUUUACAAAAGCGAAAACCCUUACGUGUCCAUCCUCUUCCAUAUUAUAAUUCCUUUAGGGUCUAUCUAUCUCCUCAUAAACCCUUAACCUUAGCCAAAUCGGUUUCUUUCAUUGAUUUAUUGAAGUCUCAUUGAAGUCUUACAAUUCUUUAGAGAUAAUAAUAGCAAUCAGAAAGAAGUAUGAGUGUUGGUGCUUCUAUCUCAUCAAUCGGAACCACGCGUGUUGCUAAUUGCAACCGUUGGAGGACCCUAAUCUCGUUUCCUUCUUUACCCUUCUACGAUACGAGAAUGUCUCGGGUUUCACCUCUGGCUUCAGCUCCAUCAGCGUCCAUGUCCAUGAGCUCAUCCUCGACAACGGAACCGGUGGUCGUGGAUGCCCCGAAGCCCAAGCUCCCUUGGCUCAUUGUCGGCCUUGGUAACCCGGGCAAGAAGUACCAAGCCACCCGCCACAAUGUAGGCUUUGAGAUGGUGGAUGCUAUAGCCGAAGCUGAAGGGAUUUCUAUUAGCAGCGUUUCCUUCAAAGCUCUGUUAGGAAAAGGUUUUAUUGGAGACGUUCCAGUUAUGUUUGCCAAACCCCAAACUUUCAUGAAUGCAAGUGGUGAGUCUGUUGGGGCUAUCGUAUCGUAUUACAAAAUUCCAUUAAAGCAAGUUCUUGUGAUUUUUGAUGACUUAGAUUUGCCAUUUGCAAAGUUGCGGCUUUUGCCUAAAGGUGGCCAUGGAGGACAUAAUGGAAUGAGGAACAUCAUUGAUCACUUCAAAGGGAACCGUGAUUUUCCUCGUUUAAGAAUUGGAAUUGGAAGGCCUCCUGGGAAAAUGGAUCCCGUCAGCUUCGUUCUUCGCCCAUUCAAUAAACAAGAACGUGAUGAGUUGAACUUCACAUUUCAACAUGGCCUAGAAGCUGUUCGGAUUCUUUUGCUGGAGGGGUUUGAUAACGGUGCCAAAUUUGCUAACAGUGCCAAAACCCUGGAACAACUUGGCUAACUUUGGGCAUAAAUUAUAAUUACUGGCGAUCAAAGAGGUGGAUAUUAUUCAUGUAGGAGAUUAGUGCAUCACAGCAAUUUGAAGUUGCGAUUGUGAAGCUAUUAGUGGCUGGCCUUGAAUCCAUGCUUUGACUCCAGAUGAUUCAUUGUGUGCUUUUACCCUUUUCCUUCCCCCCCCCCCCCCUUUUUUUUUUUUUUUUUUUUUUAAAUUAUGGUUCCUUUUGCAAUAAUGAAAGGGAAAAAAAAAGGCUAUAUUGGUCUUCCCUGACAGUGCUUUCUUUCUGGAGCCCAACUAAUUUUUCCUACAGGUAUAGAAUUUUGAGACUUUAAAA